AUACUUACCUGGACGGGGUCAAUGGGCGAUCAGGAAGGUCUAUGGCCUAGGUCAGUGAUGUCCAUUGCACUUGGGAUGGGUGCUGGCUUAAGGUCUCCCCAAGAGGGAGAGCCUACGUCAUAAUUUGUGGUAGAGGGGGCUGCGCAAGUCGCGGCCCUUG
rfam:Populus trichocarpa scaffold_5_contig_124, whole genome shotgun sequence.